AUGAGGAUUAGUGGUGACCCAGCUGUGGAUGCCAACGAGGCCAUACAAAAUGCUGCUACCAGCUGCUUGGAACAUCUUCAGGACACCAUGGAUAUUAAGUUUGAUUGCCCUCAGAUGCAGAAAAUUAAGGCCAAUAUAAGCUACCUGUCCAACACUGUUGCCGAGCAGGCCAGGAAGAUCAGAAAACUGAAGGCUAAGGUGGAAAAAAAGAAAUCUCCAAGGCGUAUUGACAAGAUGGCGGUCAACUACCUGCCUACAUGA
rnacentral:rRNA from 1 species